UUGCCUGGCAACACCGAGGUCUGGCCACCUUGCUGAGGUCUGGCCUGGAAGCCAUGCUGCGACCUGCUCCAUCCACCACAGUGCUCUCAUCCUCUGCGGUGGCACCAGCUGCCCUCAACCGCCUGCAGAGCUUGGAAAAAUGUUUGAAAAAUGAAGAUAUUUCGUUCAGUGGAGAAAUUGUGCAGCGUCUUGAAGAUACUAUUGUUGCUAUUAAGAAAUUGGAAGAAAUUCGAAGACGUACCCUUGAAUGCCUAGAAGAGGAGACUAUAAAAAAACAGCAAUCUUUGCUUCACAAUACAGAAUUUUUCAGGAGAGAAUAUUAAAGAGAUGACA